CCUAACUGACCUUUUACCCAGAUUUGCGAAGUACUUAAACAACUGCAGAUAAAAGUCCUAAAGGCAUGAUAUCUAAUGCACAAAGGUCCUAUGAACAUGAUAUCGAAAAGUGAGGGUAAUGACUUAUUGAUUGUUGAUUGGUUACAAUUACGAAAAUGUACAGAAUAACAAUUGAGAGUAAAAUGCCUAAGAACAUGGUUCUAUGUGUGAGGAUGUAUGUCCUAAGGCAUGGUAGCUAUUGAACAAAUAAAUAAAUAAGUCCUAUAGGCAUGUCUUCUACCCAUUCCCUUAUACAUGCAUAACUCCUAUAUU
rnacentral:lncRNA from 1 species